GAACGCCGGCGGCGCGCCUAAUACACGCAAGUCGAGCGAACGGACGAGAAGCUUCGCUUCUCUGAAGUUAGCGGCGGACGGGUGAGUAACACGUGGAUAACCUACCUAUAAGACUGGGAUAACUUUCGGGAAAACCGGAGCUAAUACCGGAUAAUAUUUUCGAAACCGCAUGGUUCAAAAGUGAAAGACGGUCUUCGCUGUCACUUAUAGAUGGAUUCCGCGCUCGCAUUAGCUAGUUGGUAAGGUAACGGCUUACCAAGGCAACGAUGCAUAGCCGAACCUGAGAGGGUGAACGGCCACACUCGGAACUGAGACACGGUCCAGACUUCUACGGGAGGCAGCAGUAGGGAAUCUUCCGCAAUGGGCGAAAGCCUCGACGGAGCAACGCCGCGUGAGUGAAGAAGGUCUUCGGAACGUAAAACUCUGUUAUUAAGGAAGAAAAUAUGUGUAAGUAACUGUGCACAUCUUGACGGUACCUAAUCAGAAAGCCACGGCUAACUACGUGCCAGCAGCCGCGGUAAUACGUAGGUUGGCAGCGUUAUCCGGAAUCAUCGGGCGUAAAAGCGCGCGUAGGCGGUUUUUUAGUCUGAUGUGAAAGCCCACGGCUCAACCGUGGAGGGUCAUUGGAAACUGGAAAACUUGAGUGCAGAAGAGGAAAGUGGAAUUCCAUGUGUAGCGGUGAAAUGCGCAGAGAUAUGGAGGAACACCAGUGGCGAAGGCGACUUUCUGGUCUGUAACUGACGCUGAUGUGCGAAAGCGUGGGGAUCAAACAGGAUUAGAUACCCUGGUAGUCCACGCCGUAAACGAUGAGUGCUAAGUGUUAGGGGGUUUCCGCCCCUUAGUGCUGCAGCUAACGCAUUAAGCACUCCGCCUGGGGAGUACGACCGCAAGGUUGAAACUCAAAGGAAUUGACGGGGACCCGCACAAGCGGUGGAGCAUGUGGUUUAAUUCGAAGCAACGCGAAGAACCUUACCAAAUCUUGACAUCCUUUGACAACUCUAGAGAUAGAGCUUUCCCCUUCGGGGGACAAAGUGACAGGUGGUGCAUGGUUGUCGUCAGCUCGUGUCGUGAGAUGUUGGGUUAAGUCCCGCAACGAGCGCAACCCUUAAGCUUAGUUGCCAUCAUUAAGUUGGGCACUCUAAGUUGACUGCCGGUGACAAACCGGAGGAAGGUGGGGAUGACGUCAAAUCAUCAUGCCCCUUAUGAUUUGGGCUACACACGUGCUACAAUGGACAAUACAAAGGGCAGCGAAACCGUGAGGUCAAGCAAAUCCCAUAAAGUUGUUCUCAGUUCGGAUUGUAGUCUGCAACUCGACUACAUGAAGCUGGAAUCGCUAGUAAUCGUAGAUCAGCAUGCUACGGUGAAUACGUUCCCGGGUCU
rnacentral:rRNA from 1 species